rnacentral:rRNA from 1 species
UACGGGGGGGGCAAGCGUUGUUCGGAAUUACUGGGCGUAAAGGGCUCGUAGGCGGCCAACUAAGUCAGACGUGAAAUCCCUCGGCUUAACCGGGGAACUGCGUCUGAUACUGGAUGGCUUGAGUUUGGGAGAGGGAUGCGGAAUUCCAGGUGUAGCGGUGAAAUGCGCAGAUAUCGGGAGGAACACCAGUGGCGAAGGCGGAACUCUGGGCCGGAACUGACGCUGAGGAGCGAAAGCGUGGGGAGCGAACAGG